rnacentral:rRNA from 1 species
GACGAACGCUGGCGGCGUGCUUAACACAUGCAAGUCGAACGGAAAGUCCCUGCUUUUGUGGGGUGCUCGAGUGGCGAACGGGUGAGUAACACGUGAGUAACCUUCCCUUGACUUUUGGAUAACUUCAGGAAACUUGGGCUAAUACCGGAUAGGAGCUCCUGCUGCAUGGUGGUUGUUGGAAAGUUUCGGCGGUGGGGGAUGGACUCGCGGCUUAUCAGCUUGUUGGUGGGGUAGUGGCUUACCAAGGCUUUGAAGGGUAGCCGGCCUGAGAGGGUGACCGGCCACAUUGGGACUGAGAUACGGCCCAGACUCCUAAGGGAGGCAGCAGUGGGGAAUAGUGCACAAUGGGCGGAAGCCUGAUGCAGCAACGCCGCGUGCGGGAUGACGGCCUUCGGGUUGUAAACCGCUUUCGCAUGUGACGAAGCGUGAGUGAAGGUAAUGGGUAAAGAAGCACCGGCUAACUACGUG